UACGUAGGGUGCAAGCGUUGUCCGGAAUUAUUGGGCGUAAAGAGCUCGUAGGCGGUUUGUCGCGUCGGCUGUGAAAACUCGGGGCUCAACCCCGAGCCUGCAGUCGAUACGGGCAGACUAGAGUGCGGUAGGGGAGACUGGAAUUCCUGGUGUAGCGGUGAAAUGCGCAGAUAAUCGGGAGGAACACCUAUGGCGAAGGCAGCUCGCUGGGACGUUACUGACGCUGAGACGCGAAAGCGUGGGGAGCAAACAGG
rnacentral:rRNA from 1 species